rnacentral:rRNA from 1 species
GUAUGAUGGCCACACGAGGGCUUUACUGUCUCUUACUUCCAAUCCGUGAAAUUGACCUUCCCGUGAAGAGGCGGGAAUAUAACAAUAAGACGAGAAGACCCUAUGGAGCUUUAAUUAACCGACCCAAAGAGACCCCACUAAUUAACCGACAGGAACAACAAAUCUCUACAUGGGCCGACAAUUUAGGUUGGGGUGACCUCGGAGAAUAAAACAACCUCCGAGUGAUUUAAAUCUAGACUAACCAGUCGAAAGUAUUACAUCACUUAUUGAUCCAAAAACUUGAUCAACGGAACAAGUUACCCUAGGGAUAACAGCGCAAUCCUAUUUUAGAGUCCAUAUCGACAAUAGGGUUUACGACCUCGAUG